AGAGAUAAUGGGGAGACUGUGACGAGUGUCUCUGCCAUGAACGAACAGAGAGGCAAAGUGAUAAUUGGCGAGUCAUCGUUUCGGUCGUCAUUUGUUAAGAUUGGCGAAUCGAUUGUUCCUCGUCUACAU